UACGUAGGGUGCGAGCGUUAAUCGGAAUUACUGGGCGUAAAGCGUGCGCAGGCGGUGAUGUAAGACAGAUGUGAAAUCCCCGGGCUCAACCUGGGACCUGCAUUUGUGACUGCAUCGCUAGAGUACGGCAGAGGGGGAUGGAAUUCCGCGUGUAGCAGUGAAAUGCGUAGAUAUGCGGAGGAACACCGAUGGCGAAGGCAAUCCCCUGGGCCUGUACUGGCGCUCAUGCACGAAAGCGUGGGGAGCAAACAGG
rnacentral:rRNA from 1 species